UCGCCCCCGAGUGUAAACAGUGGUGGAAACAUGGACUCCACCUACAGCAGUGGUCCUCCAACUUCGUAUAAUUCUCAUUCCUCCCCGACGGACGUCCUGAACAAUAAUAAUACGAUGCAGAAUGGCAUCAACGCCUCGUCCACUGACUCGGAGGACACGGAGGAGGUCGAGAGCGUCCGUAACAACAACAACAGGAGCGCGAGACUCAUAGUGAAUAGUAGUAGUAGUAAUAGUGGUGGUGAUAGUGAGGUUAUGGUGGUGGCGAUCGGUGGUGGUGGUGGUGUUGGCAAUGUUACGAACAGUGCUAAUGGUGGGGGUGGGGGUGUUGUUGGUGGCUCGUCUUCCGCCGAAGUGGUGGUGAACGAUACGAAUAAAGAGGAGACGGAGGACAAGGAACUGGAGGAGUUGUCCAAACUGCGUUGUCAGAGCGUGGCCACCGAGGUGGUGGCAGAGAGGUACAAGCGGAGAUGCUCCGAUUAUCCGGGGAUCGCCUUCGGCUCCUCUCUCUUUAGCUCCAACACUAUGAUGAAAUUCAGCAUCAUCAAGAAUGAAUUGCACAAUAUCAUGAACGUGCAACUGAAAAGGGCUGAGGGUGAGGUCGCCGCUCUUAACCGCCGCAUCCAGCUGCUUGAGGAAGAUCUCGAGAGGUCUGAGGAACGACUCAACACUGCCACCACCAAGUUGGCUGAGGCCUCCCAGGCAGCCGACGAGUCCGAGCGAGCGCGCAAAUGUCUGGAAAACCGAGCAAACAUGGAAGACGACAGGGUCGGCAUCCUGGAGGCUCAACUAGCACAAGCCAAGCACAUUGCCGAAGAGGCCGAUAAGAAAUAUGAAGAGCUGGCCCGUAAAUGCGUUAUGCUGGAGAAUGACCUCGAGAGAGCUGAGGAAAGGGCAGAGGCUGCCGAAGGAAAGAUCGUCGAGCUUGAGGAAGAAUUGCGUGUCGUUGGCAACAACUUGAAGUCUCUUGAGGUGUCUGAAGAGAAGGCCAACCAGCGUGAGGAAGCUUACAAGGAGCAGAUUAAGACCCUGACCAACAAACUCAAGGCGGCUGAGGCCCGCGCUGAGUUCGCAGAGAGAUCUGUGCAGAAGCUCCAGAAGGAGGUCGACAGGCUCGAAGACGAUCUAGUAGCCGAGAAGGACAAAAAUAGAGUGUUGCAGGCAGAUAUGGAAGCCACUCUACAGGACAUCCAGAAUAUGUAGACAUGCCACUACAAGCCCCUUAUAAUCUGAGGAAGCAGACCCACUCACAGACGAACUGGUUAACGAAAAGGAGAAGUACAAGUCAAUUACCGACGAGCUCGACCAGACAUUCAGCGAACUGUCUGGCUACUAAACUAUUACAUUACAACACAAUACCCACUGCUGUUUAUUUACUACAACUCUUCUUCUCCUCCUCCUCCUCUUCUUCUUCCUCUUCCUCCCACUACUUUACUACUCUUCUGCCACGUCUAUCAUAUAUUUUUUAUUGUGCUAUAUUAUUAUAUCAUCACUAUUAUAUCAUGCUCCUCAGCUGGCCUUUAUAAUAAUAUAAUAAUCUCAUGCUAUCUUUAGAGACGAUGCCUUUUGUUUUAAUCACAUUCACUUAUAAUUUUUUUUAUUUUAUUUUCCUCUUUUUAUUAUCAUUAUUAUUAUUAUUAUUAUGAAUGAUUGUGUUGCAUCUGAUCACUCAGUAAUGUUUUAGUAUCAUCAUCUGUCGAGAAUUGAUCUCGCUUUAUAUAUCUAAUCUAUUUAUCACUUUUAUUUGAGUCUCUCGUUGCCACUGAGGUCACUUUUAUAAUGUUUAUUAAAACUGAAUAAGAUUCCAAUCAAUUUCAUUUGAGAAACCUUCAUAUUUUGAAGUUCAAUUCAGAAAGUUAGGUUUCUUGUGUUCUAGACUUGAUAAUAAUAAAAAUAUUUAAAAAAUAAAGUAUUUAUUAUAUACAAAACUUUACAUUUUUUUAUUUUCAACUUAUUUUGUGACGAGGAACGAAAACUUAUAAUAUAUUUAUAUAUAACAGUACCGAUGACUGUCAAAUCAAUAUAUAUAUUAUCUCUCACUUUCUCACUCACGUGGAGUUAAUCAGUUUAGCGAGUCAUAGAAAAUAAAAAAAAAAUAAAAGCAAAACAGCUGCUUCUCGACCAUCAUCUGCCAUCAGGAGUUGAGCAGCUGUCGUUGUAAUGCCUGUCAAAAAAAAAUCUCUCACCCAUCUGUUACAGAUGAACUUGUAAAUGAGAAAGAAAAAUAUAAGAACAUUGCGGAUGAGAUGGACCAGGCGUUCUCUGAACUGUCAGGGUUCUAAUGUGUGGCCCUUAAAGGCUGGUUGGUUGGUGGGCGCCUGUUUACACUAUGGUGCUCCGAUUAAAAAAAAAAAAAAAAAUGGGUUGGCGCGCGAGGGAGGGGGAGAAGUGUGGCGCCCUCCGUUCGGCCGGUGGGUUCGGGCGUGGACGCCCCACAUCCCGAAGGAGUGGCAUGGUCCCCCACGCCACUCCUGAAGGCGUGAGUCGUUCGCGCUCGUUUACUCCUCGUCCGUCCAGAGGCCACAAUUCCACCCCUCCAAGCGAGCCGCCUGCGGACUGACUUGACUGACGACCCGAGAUGCGCCCCCCAACAACAACUGCAACAUCAUCUACAAAACUCCAUCCACCAUCUUAUCGCCGCCGCCCAACCCAUCAUUGCUCUAUUAAUGAUGAAACGUCCGCCGUGUCUCGAAGAGUUUGGCCUAGACUCAUGUGUGGGUGGCGCUGUUGUGGUGUCUGGCUUCUGUCUGUGGGGCAAGUCAUCUUAGCUUCCCCUGCGGAGCCAGGAGUUGCCAAGUUGAUUUUGUACCUUCCUGUAGAAGCCUUGGACUUUUUAAAGGCAGCCCAACUCACUUGAGAAAAAGUUAAACUUUCCUUAAUUUUUUUUCUUUUCUCUUCCUGUCUCUCUUCUUCUCUUGCUGUGUUGCCGUAUGUAAGGGUGACAAUUUUAAGGUUCACCUUCAGUGCUAGAGUUGCAAUCAGUCCUAUUGUGCAUCCUGCAUUUACAUUAUUUGGAUUAUCAAUAAUAUAUAAGUUAAUAAUAUUAUUCAAAACUUUAGAGAAAUCUGGUUCUUAUACUUACAGAAUGAUUGUACACUGUUUGUUUAACGUGUAAUAAAUUUUGUAAACAA